rnacentral:lncRNA from 1 species
CCACACCCAGUGUCUCCUCUGUUUUUCAUUUUUGUCUCUCUCUUUUGUGGGGGAAGGGAGGUUGAGACAGGGUUUCUCUGUGUAGCCCUGUGAUGGGGGUUGUCCUUCUGUAUGUUUCUCUUAUUGGUUAAUGAAUAAAACACUGUUUGGCCAAUGAGGCAGGAAGAUAGGCGGGACUAGGAGAAGAGGAGAAUUCUGGGAAAGGUAGGCAGAGAGAGUUGCCAUGUAGCAGUCAAAGGAGUUGCAGGUACAGCAUUUCCAGGUUUCUCUGUGGCUUUGGAGGCUGUCCUGGAACAAGCUCUUGUAGACCAGGCUGGACUUGAACUCACAGAGAUCCGCCUGCCUCUGCCUCCCAAGUGCUGGGACUAAAGUCGUGCGCCACCAACGCCCAGCUUAACAAUCUUGUUUCUAAGUCAAAUAAAAAAAUCUGCAAAAGAAGAAGAAGAAGAAGAAGAAGAAGAAGAAGAAGAAGAAGAAGAAGAAGAAGAAGAAGAAGAAGGUGGUAAAAUCCGGAAGAUCAGGGGUUCAAGACCAGCCUGGACUGCAUGAUACUUGUUCCAAAAAGCCAAAUAAAUAAUUUGUUUUGUAAGAGAGAGUGGGAGAGGGCUGGAGAGAUGGCUCAGCGGUUAAGAACACUGACUGUUCUUUCAAAGGUCCUGAGUUCAAUUCCCAGCAAUCACAUGGAGGCUCACAACCAUCCGUUAUGAGAUCUGGUGCCCUCUUCUGGUGUGCAGACAUACAUGGAAGCAGAAUGUUGUGUACAUAAUAAAUAAAUAAAAUCUUUUAAAAAGAA